CAGCCUCUUGUCUGGCACCGGAGCAGAAUUGUCAGGGAGCGUGAGUAAGCAGCCGAAAAGCCUCUUUGCAGUCAACAUCCACAGAAAAGAAAUAGAAGCAAUUGAUCUACAAGGACCUGCCUUUGAAACAUUG
rnacentral:lncRNA from 1 species